UACGUAGGCAGCGAGCGUUGUUCGGAAUUACUGGGCGUAAAGGGCGCGUAGGCGGUGCGGUAAGUCACCUGUGAAAUCUCCUGGCUCAACUGGGAGCUUGCAGGCGAAACUGCCGUGCUGGAGUGUGGGAGAGGUGCGUGGAAUUCCCGGUGUAGCGGUGAAAUGCGUAGAUAUCGGGGAGGAACACCUGUGGCGAAAGCGGCGCACUGGACCACAACUGACGCUGAGGCGCGAAAGCUAGGGGAGCAAACAGG
rnacentral:rRNA from 1 species